GGUGUUGUCAGUUAACUGUUAGCUCGGCAGAACGAGUGGAGAAGGGGGGUAAAAACUGACCAAUCAGGGGCCGCCACUGAGGGGCGAGGCGAUGAUGAUGAAGGACAGACUUAAUGCAUCGAUGACAGACAGCCCCAGAUGUCUUGGUGUCAUUCAUUUUUGUUUCCAAAUUCAUCCUGUGUCCUGACUGCAUCAUCCACUGGGGAACACUUAAGUAUCUGCCAAUCAGAUUCCAUUUCCUUAAGCCUGUUUACAGCAAAGCGCCGUCUCUGUGUACGUGUUUGGUGGGUUGUUAGCGUUGCAUCAGUUACUCUUCUCAAGAAUGUCACAUUCUGUACAGAGCUAAUCACAUGACUGUCAGACUUUAAUCCCUGAACCCAACAGAAAAUAUUUACCAGGAAACUAAAAGAACACAAUCACAUGCUGAUGAUGGCACGCUUUGGCAAAAAAUAGACUCUGACAGAGGGGUUUUAGUAGCUGUAGUUGUUUUGUUUUCUGAGCCUUCACUUAUUUUCAUGUAUAUUUUAUAAUUCAAAAAGCCACAUACAAAAAAAAAAACAAAAAACCAAAACAUCUGUUUGGGUUAUUUCUUCCGGUCUUUAUAAUAGACACUAAUACAUGGACUUUGUACCAAGAGGAAGGACAGACAAAUAAACAAGAUAACACAAGAAGCUCUACAUUACUUGAGUUUAUUGUCUUCACCAAAAUUGGUCCAAAGGGCUCUUAUAUGCAUUCAACAAAUCAGAUCACAAUGAAAUAUGAAAUUAUGGACAUUGAAAGAGAUUAGACUUGAGAAGGCAGCAGGAGCUCAACUGCUACACUUUGUGCCGAUGGUGUUUAUGUUAUUUUAGUGCAGGACUCCACUGCCUUCACCUUGACCUCUGCAGUAUGAAAACGAAUGACUCCAUGUCUGGUCGUCUUUAACCGUAUAAACAAACUGCCACAUCUUUGCUCAAACAGAACCAAGUCAUACUAGUAAAAAGCAACCACAACAUGUUUAAACAACUACCAGCCUGAACGUAAGCCACUUAUGCUGAACCGGAGCACUUUGGGUACAGAGCAGUUCCACAGGGAGCCAUGUUAGUGCCACUGUGCCUGCCCAUGGCUGCUUCUCAGUAACUUUGUUUUGAUUCUGUAGGAGCUGGACGCAGUGGCGGUGUUACGGAGGGCACGUUUACGCAUUUGCAGCCAAAACAUGUUAGUUCAAGAAAAGAGGUAGCAAACUAACACCCCAUGGCACAACAUGGCCAAACUCUCUAUCAGUGCCUCUGUGCUUUACCCACCCAAUCGCAGACAUCACCAGCAACUACAGACAAGCACCCCGGCUGGAGUACAAGCUGCACACUCCUGGCGUCGUCGGUUACCAUCCCUUCACAACACGACUGAGCAACAUUAUGACCCCCCCC